GAUGAACGCUGGCGGCGUGCCUAAUACAUGCAAGUCGAGCGAACGGAUGAGAAGCUUGCUUCUCUGAUGUUAGCGGCGGACGGGUGAGUAACACGUGGAUAACCUACCUAUAAGACUGGGAUAACUUCGGGAAACCGGAGCUAAUACCGGAUAAUAUUUUGAACCGCAUGGUUCAAAAGUGAAAGACGGUCUUGCUGUCACUUAUAGAUGGAUCCGCGCUGCAUUAGCUAGUUGGUAAGGUAACGGCUUACCAAGGCAACGAUGCAUAGCCGACCUGAGAGGGUGAUCGGCCACACUGGAACUGAGACACGGUCCAGACUCCUACAGGAGGCAGCAGUAGGGAAUCUUCCGCAAUGGGCGAAAGCCUGACGGAGCAACGCCGCGUGAGUGAUGAAGGUCUUCGGAUCGUAAAACUCUGUUAUUAGGGAAGAACAUAUGUGUAAGUAACUGUGCACAUCUUGACGGUACACAAUCAGAAAGCCACGGCUAACUACGUG
rnacentral:rRNA from 1 species